CAGGGCCGGCCCUUAUGUUAAUUUGGUGGGGCAAUGGCCUAGGGCCCCCAAUUUUUGGGGGCCCCAAAAUUUAGGCCCACUUAGUAUAUACCCUACAAAAAAAAAAUUUACUUACCUACUUUCUAAUGGUGUAGCCGACAGCAGCAAUCAAUUCAUAAAAAAAAAAAUUAGGCCCACUUAUUGAAGCUCUCCCACGCUCUCUCUCAACGGCUCUCUCUGUCUCUCACGCUUUCUGAUUCUCUCUCUCUCAGAACUCUCAUCUCUCUACUCUCAGUCUGACUCUCACGGCUCUCUCUCUCUUUCCAUCUCUCAACUCUCUCCUCCAUCUCUCACUCUCA
rnacentral:lncRNA from 1 species